rnacentral:rRNA from 1 species
AAUGAACGCUGGCGGCAGGCCUAACACAUGCAAGUCGAACGAGUGGCGGACGGGUGAGUAAUGUCUGGGAAACUGGCUGAUGGAGGGGGAUAACUACUGGAAACGGUAGCUAAUACCGCAUACCAUCGGAUGUGCCCAGAUGGGAUUAGAUAGUAGGUGGGGUAAAGGCUCACCAAGGCGAAGAUCCCUCGCUGGUCUGAGAGGCUGACCUGCCACACUGGGACUGAGACACGGUCCCGACUCCUACGGGAGGCAGCAGUGGGGAAUAUUGCACAAUGGGCGCAAGCCUGAUGCAGCCAUGCCGCGUGUAUGAAGAAGGCCUUCGGGUUGUAAAGUACUUUCAGCGGGGAGGCGUUACCCGAAGAAGAAGCACCGGCUAACUCCGUGCCAGCAGCCGCGGUAAUUC